GACGAACGCUGGCGGCGUGCCUAAUACAUGCAAGUCGAACGCAGUGGGGACGGGUGAGUAACACGUGGGUAACCUCCCAUCAGAGGGGAUAACACUUGGAAACAGGUGCUAAACCGAUACUGAUGGAUGGACCCGCGGUGCAUUAGCUAGUUGGUGAGGUAACGGCUCCCCAAGGGCACGAUGCAUAGCCGACCUGAGAGGGUGAAAGGCCAGACUGGGGAUGGGAAACGGCCCAGACUCCUACGGGAGGCAGCAGUAGGGAAACUUCGGCAAUGGACGAAAGUCUGAACGAGGAACGCCGCGGGAGUGAAAAAGGUUUGCGGGUCGGAAAACUCUGGUGUUAGAGAAGCGGUAUCUAACCAGAAAGCCACGGCUAACUACGUGCCAGCAGCCGCGGUAAUUC
rnacentral:rRNA from 1 species